AUUGAACGCUGGCGGCAUGCCUUACACAUGCAAGUCGAACGGCAGCACGGGGCAACCUGGUGGCGAGUGGCGAACGGGUGAGUAAUGCAUCGGAACGUACCUUUCAGUGGGGGAUAACGUAGCGAAAGUUACGCUAAUACCGCAUAUUCUGUGAGCAGGAAAGCAGGGGAUCGCAAGACCUUGCGCUGAUUGAGCGGCCGAUGUCAGAUUAUCUAGUUGGUGAGGUAAAGGCUCACCCAGGCGACGAUCUGUAGCGGGUUUGAGAGGAUGAUCCGCCACACUGGAACUGAGACACGGUCCAGACUCCUACGGGAGGCAGCAGUGGGGAAUUUUGGACAAUGGGGGCAACCCUGAUCCAGCCAUGCCGCGUGAGUGAAGAAGGCCUUCGGGUUGUAAAGCUCUUUCGGCCGGGAAGAAAUCGCACGGGCUAAUACCCUGUGUGGAUGACGGUACCGGAAUAAGAAGCACCGGCUAACUACGUGCCAGCAGCCGCAGUAAUAC
rnacentral:rRNA from 1 species